CCUACGGGUGGCAGCAGUGGGGAAUAUUGGACAAUGGGGGGAACCCUGAUCCAGCCAUGCCGCGUGUGUGAAGAAGGCCCUCGGGUUGUAAAGCACUUUCAGUGAGGAAGAACGCCUGGUGGUUAAUACCCAUCAGGAAAGACAUCACUCACAGAAGAAGCACCGGCUAACUCCGUGCCAGCAGCCGCGGUAAUACGGAGGGUGCGAGCGUUAAUCGGAAUUACUGGGCGUAAAGCGCGCGUAGGUGGCUUGAUAAGCCGGUUGUGAAAGCCCCGGGCUCAACCUGGAACGGCAUCCGGAACUGUCAAGCUAGAGUGCAGGAGAGGAAGGUAGAAUUCCCGGUGUAGCGGUGAAAUGCGUAGAGAUCGGGAGGAAUACCAGUGGCGAAGGCGGCCUUCUGGACUGACACUGACACUGAGGUGCGAAAGCGUGGGUAGCAAACAGGAUUAGAUACCCCAGUAGUC
rnacentral:rRNA from 1 species